CCUACGGGAGGCUGCAGUGAGGAAUAUUGGUCAAUGGGCGCAAGCCUGAACCAGCCAUCCCGCGUGCAGGAAGACGGCGCUAUGCGUUGUAAACUGCUUUUCCAGGGAGAGAAACUUGCGCACGUGUUGCGCAAUUGACGGUACCCUGGGAAUAAGCAUCGGCUAACUCCGUGCCAGCAGCCGCGGUAAUACGGAGGAUGCGAGCGUUAUCCGGAUUCAUUGGGUUUAAAGGGUGCGUAGGCGGACUAUUAAGUCAGUGGUGAAAUCCUGCAGCUUAACUGCAGAACUGCCAUUGAUACUGAUAGCCUUGAGUUUGGUUAAGGUAGGCGGAAUGUGUAAUGUAGCGGUGAAAUGCUUAGAUAUUACACAGAACACCAAUUGCGUAGGCAGCUUACUGAGCCGACACUGACGCUGAGGCACGAAAGCGUGGGGAUCGAACAGGAUUAGAUACCCCAGUAGUC
rnacentral:rRNA from 1 species